GCCGGGGUAGCCAAGUGGACUACAGGUUUAUACCGGUUAGGGCGCGGGCCUUGAGAGCCCGUGGCCCUUACGGGCCGCGUGGGUUCGAAUCCCACCCCCGGCGCCA
rnacentral:tRNA from 1 species